rnacentral:rRNA from 1 species
UACAGAGGGUGCGAGCGUUGUUCGGAAUUACUGGGCGUAAAGCGCGCGCAGGCGGCUUUCUAAGUCCGUCGGUGAAAGACCGGGGCUCAACCCCGUGUCAGCCAUGGAUACUGGGAGGCUGGAGACAGGUAGAGGCAAGCGGAAUUCCGGGUGUAGCGGUGGAAUGCGUAGAGAUCCGGAAGAACACCGGAGGCGAAGGCGGCUUGCUGGACCUGGUCUGACGCUGAGGCGCGAAAGCGUGGGGAGCGAACAGG